AUCCUUUUGUAGUUCAUAAGCGUCAUAAUUGGGUGUUCAAGCCAUUGUGUGACAUGUGCCAUCCUUAAACCUUGUUACAAUGCCAGCACAUUAUCUGUCUGAUG